rnacentral:rRNA from 1 species
AAUAGAUACCCCGGUAGUCCUAGCCGUAAACGAUGUAUACUAGGUGUAACCGGACUCAACCCCGGUUGUGCCGGUAGCUAACGUGUUAAGUAUACCGCCUGGGGAGUACGCUCGCAAGGGUGAAACUCAAAAGAAUUGACGGGGACCCGCACAAGCAGUGGAGCAUGUGGUUUAAUUCGAUGCAACGCGAAGAACCUUACCUAGACUUGACAUGUAGUGGACCGCACCAGAGAUGGUGCUUUCCUUCGGGACCAUUACACAGGUGCUGCAUGGCUGUCGUCAGCUCGUGCCGUGAGGUGUUGGGUUAAGUCCCGCAACGAGCGCAACCCUUGUCGUUAGUUGCCAACAGUUAGGCUGGGAACUCUAACGAGACUGCCUGGGUUAACCAGGAGGAAGGUGAGGAUGACGUCAAGUCAGCAUGGCCCUUAUGUCUAGGGCUACACACGUGCUACAAUGGUCGGUACAGAAGGUAGCGAACCCGAAAGGUCAAGCAAAUCCUAGAAAGCCGAUCCCAGUUCGGAUUGUAGUCUGCAACUCGACUAC